rnacentral:rRNA from 1 species
UACGGAGGGUGCAAGCGUUAUCCGGAUUCACUGGGUUUAAAGGGUGCGUAGGCGGAUAGGUAAGUCCGUGGUGAAAUCCUGCAGCUUAACUGCAGAACUGCCAUGGAUACUAUUUAUCUUGAAUGUCGUGGAGGUUAGCGGAAUAUAUCAUGUAGCGGUGAAAUGCAUAGAUAUGAUAUAGAACACCGAUUGCGAAGGCAGCUAACUAAGCGAUGAUUGACGCUGAGGCACGAAAGCGUGGGGAUCAAACAGG